rnacentral:rRNA from 1 species
UGCGAGUCGAAUGUAGCAAUACAUGGCGUACUGCUCAGUAACACGUGGACAACCUGCCCUUAGGACGGGUAUAAACCCGGGAAACUGGGUAUAAUUCCCGAUAGGUCUCGUCUGCUGGAAUGCAUCGAGAUCCAAAGCUCCGGCGCCUAAGGAUGGGUCUGCGGCCUAUCAGGUAGUAGUGGGUGUAGCGUACCUACUAGCCUACAACGGGUACGGGUUGUGAGAGCAAGAGCCCGGAGAUGGAUUCUGAGACACUAAUCCAGGCCCUACGGGGUGCAGCAGGCGCGAAAACUUUACAAUGCUGGGAACAGCGAUAAGGGAACCUCGAGUGCCAGGUUACAAAUCUGGCUGUCGUGAUGCCUAAAAAGCAUUAUAUAGCAAGGGCCGGGCAAGACCGGUGCCAGCCGCCGCGGUAACACCGGCGGCUCGAGUGGUAACCGUUAUUAUUGGGUCUAAAGGGUCUGUAGCCGGCCGGAUAAGUCUCUUGGGAAAUCUGGCAGCUUAACUGUCAGGCUUUCAGGGGAUACUGUCUGGCUCGAGGCCGGGAGAGGUGAGAGGUACUUCAGGGGUAGGGGUGAAAUCUUGUAAUCCUUGAAGGACCACCAGUGGCGAA